UACGAAGGGUGCAAACGUUGCUCGGAAUUAUUGGGCGUAAAGCGCACGUAGGCGGCUUUGUAAGUUGGAUGUGAAAACCCUCGGCUCAACCAAGGAAGUGCAUUCAAAACUGCAAGGCUUGAGUACUUAAGAGGAUCGCGGAAUUCCCGGUGUAGAGGUGAAAUUCGUAGAUAUCGGGAGGAACACCAGUGGCGAAGGCGGCGAUCUGGGAAGAUACUGACGCUGAGGUGCGAAAGCGUGGGGAGCAAACAGG
rnacentral:rRNA from 1 species